GAUUUUGUGAUCCUGAAAGUGUUGCAAUACGUGCAAUAUAAACCAUAGAAAAGACACGUAAACCGAUGUAGUUUUAUGUUCUUGUCAUCAGAGCAUAUCAUCAACAGACUUAUGAUUUUAUUUUUAUGCAUGAGGGUCUAUCUCAUCUACCAUUUUAAUUAUCUGAUAGUCUUGUUUACUGUUAAAUGGGCUUACAGUGGCUUUCUCGCGAUACAAUUCUUGGUUACUUUGUUCAUUUUGGCCCGAAAGCUUACGGAGAUUCAAUGAUUUUUCACCGUUAGGUGUUUGUCGGUAGGUAAGAACUUUAAAACAUGAUUAUUCCUUGUAAUGACAUUGCUUGUGACAGUAACUGACAAAUGUAGGCCAGUUCUAGUUUUUUUUCAAAGGUGAUUGUAUAUGUAUGUCUUAAGUCAGACCAAAUAAAGUUCCGCCGAGUUU
rnacentral:misc_RNA from 1 species